rnacentral:lncRNA from 1 species
AGAGUAAGAGUGUUGAACAAGAAGAUAAUGUAAGUGAAAAAUAAAAUUAUUGAACGUUAAUCUAAAUUUCAUAUGAUUUUUAUAUUCAAAAUAAUAAAUUGUACAAUUGGAUAUGAAUUUUACAGCCUAGAGACGGAAGCUUGAAUAGUUCAAAUAGCCUUCAAAAUAGGAAAUGCAAAUUGUUAUCUUGGUUUGGGAAAGCUGAUGUUGUUGCAAAAGGUGAAAUCGCAUCAACAAAUACAAGUAAUUUGGUGCAUCAUGUACCACUUGAUAAUGAAUGUUGGAGAGUUUAGGUUAAUGAAGUGAUUGAUAAUAUCAGCUUAUAUCGUCCUACACGUGAGCUUUUUCUUCUUGAAGAUGCAUUAGGAAGUACAAUAGCAUGACCAAUUAGGUACAUUGAAGUGGAUUCGCUAUAAUCACAAUGAAGGUAUGCUUAACUUCUUUUCUAUUUUAAUUUCACAAUUCAUUAGGCAAAUAUGUUACAAUUCAAGUCCUCCUAGCAUUCUUGCUUCUGUGGCUCUAACACUUUUAACUGGCCAUUGAGCGUAACUUGAUCACCGACAUUUGAUGAAAUUUCAGGUACAGGUAGAUUACAAAUGAGCAUUGCUGAAGUCUCAC